rnacentral:rRNA from 1 species
AACGUAGGACACAAGCGUUAUCCGGAGUUACUGGGCGUAAAGGGCGUGUAGGCGGACCUAUAAGUCUAUUCUGAAAGCUCCUGGCUAAACUGGGAGAGGCGAAUGGAGACUGUAGAUCUAGAGUGAGGAAGAGGAAAGUGGAAUUCCGCGUGUAGUGGUGAAAUGCGUAGAGAUCCGGAGGAACACCGACGGCGCAGGCAGCGUCCUGGCCGCUUGGCUGACACUGAGGCACGGAAAGC